AUUGAACGCUAGCGGGAUGCUUUACCCAUGCAAGUCGAACGGCAGCGCGGACUUCGGUUUGGCCGCGAGUGUCGAACGGGAGAGUAAUGUAUCGGAACGUGCCCAGUAGCGGGGGAUAACUACGCGAAAGCGUAGCUAAUACCGCAUACGCCCUACGGGGGAAAGCAGGGGAUCGUAAGACCUUGCACUAUUGGAGCGGCCGAUAUCGGAUUAGCUAGUUCGUGAGGUAACGGCUCACCAAGGCGACGAUCCGUAGCUUGUUUGAGAGGAAGACCAGCCAGGCUUGGGCUGAGACACGGCCCAGACUCCUAAGGGAGGCAGCAGUGGGGAAUGUUGGGCCAUGGGGGCAAGCCUGGUCCAGCCAUCCCGCGUGUGCGAUGAAGGCCUUCGGGUGGGAAGGCACGUUUGGGAGGGAAGAACCGUCGCGGGCUUAGAGCCCGUGGAACUGACGGUACCUGCAGAAUAAGCACCGGCUAACUACGUG
rnacentral:rRNA from 1 species